rnacentral:rRNA from 1 species
AGCAGCCGCACGGUAAUACGUAGGUGGCAAGCGUUAUCCGGAAUUAUUGGGCGUAAAGCGCGCGUAGGCGGUUUCUUAAGUCUGAUGUGAAAGCCCACGGCUCAACCGUGGAGGGUCAUUGGAAACUGGGAAACUUGAGUGCAGAAGAGGAAAGUGGAAUUCCAUGUGUAGCGGUGAAAUGCGCAGAGAUAUGGAGGAACACCAGUGGCGAAGGCGACUUUCUGGUCUGUAACUGACGCUGAUGUGCGAAAGCGUGGGGAUCAAACAGGAUUAGAUACCCCAGUAGUCCCUGUCUCUUAUACA